GUGACAUUGACAACAUUAUUUUCUGUCAUUUUUAUACAACUUUUGUUGAUAAAAAUAUUUAGAAAAUAAAUAGCAACAAAGUGAAGAAAUUUAUAUUUAUAUAGAACAUCUUCAAUUCUAUCUAUUUUAAAUCAGAAGUCAAUAACCCGGAUAUAAUCAAUAUGGCCGAGCGAAACGAUGAUAAUUUUAAUGAUAUAAUGUUUGAGAUAAAUGUUCAACAAAUACCUAGAGUAGUAAACAACAUUGCUGAACCAAAUGAUGACAAUUUUAAUGAUUUGAUGUUUCAAAUAAAUGAUCAGCAAGAACACCGGGAGAUCGCAUCUUUAUCCAAUGAUUCCAAUUUAGGAUCAUCACUUACAAAUUAUGGAAUAGAUCGAAAUAAUCCAGAGGAAAAUCAACAGUAUAUCAGAGAAAAUGAAGAUCCACAUGCAAUUAUCCAAGGUAUAGGUGUUGAUGCUAUGUUUAUAGAUGAAAAUGUAAGAGAUGAUAGUGGUUUAGCCAGUUCAAUAUCUAAAACAAAAGAGAGUGAAUUUGUACCUCAAAUAAUAGAAUUUGAAAAAGAAAAAACUGCAAAUACUCAAUCUCUGUUGAAUGAAAGUGACAUUGAAGAUGUAGAAAAUAUCCUAAUAGCAGAAGAAGCUACCUAUGAUGAAAUACAUAAUUUAUCUGAAGAAUUGCAAGAUAUGGGAUUAUCUACAUUUGAUUUGGCAAUAGAAAGGGGGUUUCAUGACCAAGCUAAGAUUUAUUAUGAUGAUGUUAUAUCAAAAGGUCAAAAAUUAAGAACAAAAUUUUUGAAAUCUGAAGAUGAAAUAAAUAAAGCAUCAAGUGAAAAAACUGGUCAGAACAAUGUAACUGAAACAGAUAUUUCAGGUUUAGGAAAUGGUUACUACAGCAAACAGUUUGUAUAUCAACAAAUUUACAUGUUACAGAUGGAUUUCAAAGAAUACUUGAACUGUAUUGAAAGUAAUGAUUAUAAGAAAUUAUUGAAAAAACUCCAGUAUAAAAAUAAUAGACUUAAUGAAGUGGAAAAGAAAAUUGAAAGGAAUAUUAACACAAAGAAAAAACGAAAUGAUGCAAUGCUAAAAGAAGAGACAAUAAACAUGAUAAGGAAAUUUAUAGAGCAUUUGGAUAGUUUUGAAAGUCAGUUCAAAGAUUUUAUCUUAAAACUAGCCAAGGAUAUGAAUAGUAUUCCUGAAGAGAGUGGAUGUGGAUCUGUGAAUGAAAUACAAAACAAUGACAAUGAUGAUAAUGCUGAAGGCGCAGUUGGUUAUUCAUAACGUCUUUAAAUUACAAAUGAACAGGAUACAAGUUAUAAAGGAACAAUUGCUUUAAAAAGGCAAUUAUAAAUAUUACCAAAAUUCCAAUCUGGUUAUAACAUAAAAUGUGCCUUUUUAAAAGGAAUUUAAUUCUAAUAAUUUAAGAGACUCAUGUUUUUAUACCCAUAUAUUAUAUAUACAGUAUACAAACUUUAGACAUUAUGUUAAUACUAGCAGAUAAG